UACGGAGGGUGCAAGCGUUAUCCGGAUUUACUGGGGUUAAAGGGUGCGUAGGUGGAUUUGUAAGUCAGUGGUGAAAUCUCCGGGCUUAACCCGGAAACUGCCAUUGAUACUAUAAGUCUUGAAUUAUCUGGAGGUAAGCGGAAUAUGUCAUGUAGCGGUGAAAUGCUUAGAUAUGACAUAGAACACCAAUUGCGAAGGCAGCUUACUAGGCUGUAACUGACGCUGAGGCACGAAAGUGUGGGGAUCAAACAGG
rnacentral:rRNA from 1 species